rnacentral:tRNA from 1 species
AGCCCCAUGGUGUAAUGGUAGCACUAAGGUUUCUGGUUCCUUCAGUCGGGGUUCGAGUCCCUGUGGGGCUGCCA